rnacentral:rRNA from 1 species
AUGCUGAAUGUUCACCUGCGAACAGUUACAAGAAUAUGGAAUCUAGCCAAACGACAACUUGCAGCAGGCCAAGAAGUUGAUGUUUCAAGCAAGAAGAACAAAAGUGGUAGGAAGAGAAAAGAACUAGAUCUGUCGAGAACAGCCACAAUCCCCUUGAACAAAAGAAGAACAAUCCAGUCUCUAGCAAGGUGUUUAGGUGUGCCCCGAUCAACCCUACAUGACAGAUUUCAAUUG